rnacentral:rRNA from 1 species
UCUGGUUGAUCCUGCCAGAGGUUACUGCUAUCGAGGUUCGACUAAGCCAUGCGAGUCGAAUGUAGCAAUACAUGGCGAACUGCUCAGUAACACGUGGACAACCUGCCCUUAGGUUGGGUAUAAACCCGGGAAACUGGGUAUAAUACCCGAUAGGUCUCGAUUGCUGGAAUGCAUCGAGAUUUAAAGCUCCGGCGCCUAAGGAUGGGUCUGCGGCCUAUCAGGUAGUAGUGGGUGUAGCGUACCUACUAGCCUACGACGGGUACGGGUUGUGAGAGCAAGAGCCCGGAGAUGGAUUCUGAGACACGAAUCCAGGCCCUACGGGGUGCAGCAGGCGCGAAAACUUUACAAUGCUGGCAACAGCGAUAAGGGAACCUCGAGUGCCAGGUUACAAAUCUGGCUGUCGAGAUGCCUAAAAAGCAUUUCAUAGCAAGGGCCGGGCAAGACCGGUGCCAGCCGCCGCGGUAACACCGGCGGCUCGAGUGGUAACCGUUAUUAUUGGGUCUAAAGGGUCUGUAGCCGGCCGGAUAAGUCUCUUGAGAAAUCUGGCAGCUUAACUGUCAGGCUUUCAGGAGAUACUGUCUGGCUCGAGGCCGGGAGAGGUGAGAGGUACUUCAGGGGUAGGGGUGAAAUCUUGUAAUCCUUGAAGGACCACCAGUGGCGAAGGCGUCUCACCAGAACGGACCUGACGGCAAGGGACGAAAGCUAGGGGCACGAACCGGAUUAGAUACCCGGGUAGUCCUAGCCGUAAACGAUACUCGCUAGGUGUCGGCCACGGUGCGACCGUUGUCGGUGCCGUAGGGAAGCCGUGAAGCGAGCCACCUGGGAAGUACGGCCGCAAGGCUGAAACUUAAAGGAAUUGGCGGGGGAGCACCACAACGGGUGGAGCUUGCGGUUUAAUUGGAUUCAACGCCGGAAAUCUUACCGGGACCGACAGCAAUAUGAAGGCCAGGCUGAAGACUUUGCCGGAUUAGCUGAGAGGUGGUGCAUGGCCGUCGUCAGUUCGUACUGUGAAGCAUCCUGUUAAGUCAGGCAACG